AUGGCCAUAUUACAUUGAAACCUUGGCUCCUAUAUGAUCACAGAAGUUAAGCAGCAUUAAGUUUGGUCAGUACCUAGAUAGGUGACCACUUGAGAAUACCAGGUACUGUA